rnacentral:lncRNA from 1 species
CAACAACCAUGUGGCCACAAGCAUGACUUUAAGAACGGAACAGAAAUGAAGGAGAAAAAAAGAAAAGACUUGCCUAGACAAACAAAAGCUGAGGGAGUUCAUCACAACUAGAACUGCCUUACAAGAAAUGCUACAGGAAGCUCUUUGAGUUGAAAUGAAAGGAUGCGAAGUAGCAACAUGAACACAUGUGAAAGUAUAAAACUUACUGGUAAAGGAGGGGAAGAGACGCAGAAACACAUGCAGAGGUGACAGCUGUGUGAUGCUGGAGGCAGAGGCUCCUGGAGUGACUCAGAGGAAGACGAGGCACACCAAAGAUGUCCGGCUGACCCUGCAAGCUGGGAGGAGGCAGGAGAGAUUUCACGCAGAGUCUCAGAGGAGCAGAGCUCUGUCGACGCCUGGGUUCAGACUUCCAGCCUCCAGAACUUGAGCGAAUAUGUGUGUGCUGUGUGAAGCCCCCAGUCUGGGACACUCUGCUGCAGGGGCCCCGCAAAUGAAUACGGGGCGAGUCCCCUAACUCCUCACCUUGCAGGCGGACCGCCUGAGGCUCCAGAAGGGGCAGGGGCUCACCUGAGGUCCCAAGCAAGUGGGAGGCGGAGGCGAGACUUGAAUCACGGUCCCGCUGACUCGGAGGCCAGUGCUCACCUCACACUGUAACUCCUUCCCCGAGUGUGUGGCAGCCUGGGCUGGUGCCGCCGUGCUCCCAUCUGGACAGGGACUACGUCUGGCUCAACACCUGGGCAGCAGGUGCAAGCCGAGCCGCGGGGGGCUCGGGUGUAGGAUGCUCCAGAAACCAAGGUGGGAAAAAGUGCAUGUG